AUUGAACGCUAGCGGGAUGCUUUACACAUGCAAGUCGAACGGCAGCGCGGACUUCGUUCUGGCGGCGAGUGGCGAACGGGUGAGUAAUGUAUCGGAACGUGCCCAGUAUCGGGGGAUAACUACGCGAAAGCGUAGCUAAUACCGCAUACGCCCUACUGGGGAAAGCAGGGGAUCGUAAGACCUUGCCCUAUUUGCGCGGCCGAUAUCGGAUUAGCUAGUUUGUGAGGUAACGGCUCACCAAGGCGACGAUCCGUAGCUGGUUUGAGAGGACGACCAGCCACACUGGGACUGAGACACGGCCCAGACUCCUACGGGAGGCAGCAGUGGGGAAUUUUGGACAAUGGGGGCAACCCUGAUCCAGCCAUCCCGCGUGUGCGAUGAAGGUCUUCGGGUUGUAAAGCACUUUUGGCAGGAAAGAAACGUCGCGGGCUAAUACCCCGUGGAACUGACGGUACCUGCAGAAUAAGCACCGGCUAACUACGUG
rnacentral:rRNA from 1 species